rnacentral:rRNA from 1 species
AACGGCUCACCAAGGCGACGAUCAGUAGCUGGUCUGAGAGGAUGAUCAGCCACAUUGGGACUGAGAUACGGCCCAGACUCCUACGGGAGGCAGCAGUGGGGAAUUUUGCGCAAUGGGGGAAACCCUGACGCAGCAACGCCGCGUGGUCGAUGAAGCUUCUAGGAGUGUAAAGACCUGUCGUUGGGGAAGAACGGGACAGUGAGUAACUGCUCUGUCCGUGACUGUACCCUUCAAGAAAGCUCCGGCUAACUCCGUGCCAGCAGCCGCGGUAAUACGGGGGGAGCAAGCGUUAUCCGGAAUCACUGGGCGUAAAGGGCGCGUAGGCGGAUGGUUAAGUCAAAUCUGAAAGUUAACAGCUUAACUGUUAAAGUGGGUUUGAUACUGGUUAUCUUGAGUGCGAGAGAGGAAAGCGGAAUUCCUGGUGUAGCGGUGAAAUGCGUAGAUAUCAGGAGGAACACCGGUGGCGAAGGCGGCUUUCUGGCUCGUAACUGACGCUGAGGCGCGAAAGCGUGGGUAGCAAACAGGAUUAGAUACCCUGG